UCCCUAAUAGCUCAGUUGGUAAAGAAUCCGCCUGCAACGCGGGAGACCCCAGUUUUGAUUCCUGGGUCGGGAA
rnacentral:tRNA from 1 species